AUACGGAGGGUGCGAGCGUUGUUCGGAAUUAUUGGGCGUAAAGCGCGCGUAGGCGGUUUGUUAAGUCUGAUGUGAAAGCCCCGGGCUCAACCUGGGAAGUACAUUGGAUACUGGCAGACUUGAAUACGGGAGAGGGCAGUGGAAUUCCUGGUGUAGGAGUGAAAUCCGUAGAUAUCAGGAGGAACACCGGUGGCGAAGGCGGCUGCCUGGACCGAUAUUGACGCUGAGACGCGAAAGCGUGGGUAGC
rnacentral:rRNA from 1 species